rnacentral:rRNA from 1 species
UACGUAGGGUGCAAGCGUUGUCCGGAAUUAUUGGGCGUAAAGAGCUCGUAGGCGGUUUGUUGCGUCGGCUGUGAAAUCCCGAGGCUCAACCUCGGGUCUGCAGUCGAUACGAGCAAAACUAGAGUGUUGCAGGGGAGACUGGAAUUCCUGGUGUAGCGGUGAAAUGCGCAGAUAUCAGGAGGAACACCGGUGGCGAAGGCGGCUCUCUGGUACGUGACUGGACGCUGAGACGCGAAAAGCGUGGGGGAGCGAACAGG